rnacentral:pre_miRNA from 1 species
UUAACUCAAAUUUGUAUGGAGUUGGAACGUUUGCCUACGUUUGCCGCUAGGUUCCAACUGCAUACAAAUUUGAGUUA